rnacentral:rRNA from 1 species
UACGUAGGCAGCAAGCGUUGUUCGGAGUUACUGGGCGUAAAGAGUGCGUAGGUGGUGCCCUAAGUCUGUUGUGAAAUCUCCCGGCUUAACUGGGAGGGUGCGGUGGAAACUGGGGUGCUUGAGUGUGGGAGAGGUAAGGCGGAAUUCCUGGUGUAGCGGUGAAAUGCGUAGAUAUCAGGAGGAACACCGGUGGUGUAGACGGCUUACUGGACCACGACUGACACUGAGGCACGAAAGCGUGGGUAGCAAACAGG